rnacentral:rRNA from 1 species
AACGAACGCUGGCGGCGUGGAUAAGACAUGCAAGUCGAACGGGACUAAAUCUGUAGCAAUACAGGUUUAGUUUAGUGGCGAACGGGUGCGUAACACGUGGGCAAUCUGCCGAGAAGUGGGGGAUAGCUCGCCGAAAGGCGAAUUAAUACCGCAUAUGAUCAGCUAAGACAUCUUAGCGACAUCAAAGCCGGGGCAACCUGGCGCUUCUUGAUGAGCCCGCGGCCUAUCAGCUAGUUGGUGAGGUAACGGCUCACCAAGGCUAUGACGGGUAGCUGGUCUGAGAGGACGACCAGUCACACUGGAACUGAGACACGGUCCAGACACCUACGGGUGGCAGCAGUCGAGUAAUUUUUCNCAAUGGGGAAACCCUGAAGGAGCGACGCCGCGUGGAGGAUGAAGG